GUUGGUGAUGUUAAAGAUAAUUAAGUUUUAAAUUCAAAUAAUUUGGCGGUAAGAAAAGAACUCAGAGAAACCUGAGAAUUAAUUGGAUGGUCCACCAUUAUUCGUUCUUAAUAAAUAAGUUGCCUGUAUGUCUGUUUAGAUUAUCGUUAGAUCUUUAGUCUUUAUAUUGUUCAAUUUAAAUUCAGGUCAAUAUAGGGAUUAUUAUUAAGUUUCCUUGGGUUGCAUUUAAGCUUAUUAGUGAUUUAAUUAAUAAAAAUCUAAUUUGGAUUUGAAAGUAAAUAUUUGUGUAAGUAUUUUGAAUUCUACUUUUCUUAAGUACAAAUCCCGUCCCU
rnacentral:tRNA from 1 species